UGGUGGAGAGCUCUCUCCUCCUCCUCCUCCUCCUCUCUCUCUCUCUCUUCCCCUUGCGCGUUUCUGCGUAGUGCACGCUGGGCGUGCGUUCGUCUUCCUCUUUCGAUUAUUCUAUGGCGAGUGCAUUGGGCAGUGAGUGCGAGCAGCCCAUUGUGGGUCUUCUUCCCGAAUGCUCCAGCUUUCUCCAUCUCGUCUUCUUUGUCCAUCCAGUGUGUGCGUGACAUAUAUAUAGAUACAUACACGCAGUAGCGGGCCAAUCUCUCCCUUUGUCCUCUCGACCGAUUUGCUAUGGGGAGAGGCAGCGGGUGCACCGGUGAUGGACGGAACAAGAAUGAUUGCAAGGAGUUGCAAUCGGUCCCAUUUGAGAAAUGGGCAGGGAGUUUUGACAGAAGCUCGUGGUCGAAAAGUGGUAGCCGGAGGAAUGGACAACAACGUGCAGAUCUGGCGAAGGCGUUCGCCAUGGUCGUUACGAAAGAUCAACGUAGGUAGCCCGAAAACAGCAUCUCCGGUACGACAAGAGUUGUUGCCAGCCGGCCGUGAGUGGGCUGUUGCAAGUCGCCCGUGGUUCCUUCUUCUGCAGUCCCGGCACCUGUAACGGCAAGAGUUGUCGUUGGUACCGCGAUUAGGGUUUUUAUGAAUUCUCGACGGCUGUCCAACAAAAGUUGCCAGUGGUAAAUUUACAGUUGCAAUCCCUUUAUUAUAUCCCGCUAUAGGUCCGUUGGAUCAACAGUCUCAUUUGGAUCAAUGAUCCUAGCUCUCAUUCACCUUUGUUGAGAUGAUCCUAGCACAGGUCUAGCAAAGGGUUCCAGGGUGGCCUACAAGUGGACUGAGUUGGUCGCCUACGCUUGUGAGAGUGGCUUGGUCAGCCAAGGACAGAUACCAGAGUAGAUGAGGAGCUGAUUCGAGAAGCAGGUCAGUGAGCCAAUAUGUGAUGGGAUUGUAGAAGCUCGACUGGGAGACUAAGGAGUUGGGUUAGAUGUGCAACAGAAGCAACCGGCAUGCUCUUUGAGCUUGAGGUAUCAUUUACUGCUUACUGCAUUUUCAUUAUGAAUGGUUAUAUUUUAUAUAUAUCUAUAUAACUGCUAUUAUUUUUUCAUGCAAGAAGUGAUCCGCUUCCGCUAUUUAUUUGUAUGAUUGUGUAAAAAAUUUUAAAAACACAAUUUGUUCUCUUACAUCUGUCGCUAUGCGUUUGCGGAAGCCCCUUGCGGCAUAAUAUCCUUAUACAUCCUUUUUCAAUGACAUGUUGAGGGAAUGGAGGAGCAAGAGAAGAGGAGGUUCACUUGCACACCUCCCCGCCCCCAUGGGAGCAUGCUUCUGUUGAGGAGAUAGGGUGCUUCUGUUGAGGAGAUAGGGUGCUUUAUGUGGAUAUCGCAUGCAGGAAGGUGGAAAUUGAGGCGGAAAGGAAGCGUAAGGCAGCCCAAGCCACUACUAUAGACAAGCAACCUUGCCUUUCUCAAGACUCAGUGGCUCCUUCUGCUAGAGUCGAGAUAGCCUACGAAUCUUUGCCUCAUUCUCCUUAGCCUCCAGUGACUUGCCCGCCCUUGUUUCAGCCUCCGGUGGCCCAUACUUCUCCAUCUCAACAUCCGGCAACCAAUACUCCCCCAUCUUAGACGGCGGUUACGAAGAGUUCUCACUUGGUUCAUUCCUUUACCGUAGUUGUGAUAAGGGCCAGGAGUCCACAUCUGUCCUUGAUUUGGAUUAGCAUCACUGAGUAGUCAGGCAAAGUACAAUCGUCCUCAAUCUCCACACUGAAAAGACCAGAGGACCUUAGGGGAGGAGAGUCAACUUCGUACUAUUACUAUCCUCCCCAAGGUUAAUCCUCCUAACUCUCACCCAAUUCAGCUCUCCUACGGGCAAAAACUGAGGGGAGAUCAUUUCCAAGUCUAUCUUGGAGUGAUUGAUACUUAAGGAUUGGUGCCCACUUAAUCUACUCAACUGUCCUUCACCGGAAUAACCAGAUAGGCUUGGGUAAUUUCCCUUAGGUGUUGGACAAGCCUAAUCGAGAAAUCAUCUGGGAAAGGAAUUCAUAAUUUUUUUUCUUUUUACCAUCCUUUUUUGGUGGGUAUUUUUUUUUUCCUGACUUUUACUCUUUGGAUUUUAUCUAUGGUGUGCAGAGAAUGGUCGUUGCCAAUGCCCUAUGUCGAGCCUUCUAUAAGUGCACCUAGGAGAAGCUUGCGGGUUGGAAAAGGGAGAGAGAAUGGUGGGACCAAGAGGCGUAAAGGCAGCAAGGUCGUCUCUACCGUAGGUUGGAGAGAGACUAUGCGACUUUUCGCAAGCAAUUGGCAGAUGUAAGCACUGAAUAUGCCUCAUAGGUUAGUGCACUCCAGAAUGAGGAUCGGGAACUAAAGAGAGUGAACAAGGAACAAAAGAAAAUCAUCAAGGAUGUCAAGAAGUCUUAUUCUGCCCUUGUUCAAGAGAAGGAUCAACAUGUCGAGGAGCUGUCCUCUAGCCUCCCUUCAUGAGUAGGAGCUUCAAACAAAAAAAAAAAAAACUUAAGAAUGAAGAGCGAUGGUUAGAGGAAGAUCACCCGAGAGUUGAGGACAAGAUUGUUGCAAUAGGAAGUAGAAAUAUGCAAGUAGCUUUAUCAAGUAUGACUUUUAUUUUACUUGCUUUUUCUUUGAAUCAAAGAAGCUUGGGAAAGCUUUUGACAAGUUGCUCUACACUUCGAAGGGUACAUGUUUCGAACUAUGAUCUAGACCCCAAUAAUUUGGAGACUUAUCUUGAUUCUUGCUUGAUCGACGAUUUGGAGAACCUCUCAAGUCCCUAGGAGCCUUAUUCAAGUGGUCAAAGGAGUUUAAAGAUAUUGAAUCUCUUGUGAAUUUGAAUAUUGCGGUCUAGGACUUGAGAUUUUAACUCUUAUACUUUAUUUUUAACUUUU